CAGCAGCCGCGGUAAUACGGAGGGGGCUAGCGUUGUUCGGAAUUACUGGGCGUAAAGCGCACGUAGGCGGCUUUGUAAGUUAGAGGUGAAAGCCUGGAGCUCAACUCCAGAAUUGCCUUUAAGACUGCAUCGCUUGAAUCCGGGAGAGGUGAGUGGAAUUCCGAGUGUAGAGGUGAAAUUCGUAGAUAUUCGGAAGAACACCAGUGGCGAAGGCGGCUCACUGGACCGGCAUUGACGCUGAGGAGCGAAAGCAUGGGGAGCGAACAGGAUUAGAUACCCCCGUAGUCCCUGUCUCUUAUAU
rnacentral:rRNA from 1 species